rnacentral:lncRNA from 1 species
CCCCUAAAUUUUGGAAAAUUAUUUAAUCUGGGCCAUUAAACUUUUGAAUUUUGCAAUUAAAGUCCCCAAAGUUCAUAAUUAAUUAAAAUCAGCCCUUAAAGUUUUAAAAUUUUUCAAAUUUUGACCCCUAAAGUUUUGAAUUAUUAACCCUUAGGUCCCUAAACUUUCUAAAGGCAUCUAAUAAUGCAAAAUUAGUGAUUCUCUCUCUAUAAUUUUGGUACUAAAGACUCCCUUAAGAGGAAUAAUUAAGAUUUAAUUAUGUGGAACAAUAAAAUUCAAAUAUUUUGGUAAUUUAUUCAUAAUAAAUUAAGGUUAUCUAGCAUUUUAAAUAAACUAAUUGAAACAAUAUGUCGCCAAAGUGACCUCUUUUGUGUAGAUUGGUUUAUUUGGAUGUUUAGAUGUGUGUGUGUUUCUUCAUGCGGGUAUUAACCGGCCCAAAGGAAGGUUAAUACUUGGCCGAAUUACAUACAUUCUUGUGGUGGUGAAUGUGUGACAAUUAUAAGGUUUCCAUGUAAAUAAUAAAUCAAUCCAAAGAUAGGUUUAUUAUUUGACAGGAGUUAUUGUCAAU